AUACGGAGGGUGCAAGCGUUACUCGGAAUCACUGGGCGUAAAGCGUACGUAGGCGGUUAUUUAAGUCAGAUGUGAAAGCCCCGGGCUUAACUUGGGAACUGCAUUUGAAACUGGGUAACUAGAGUUUAGUAGAGGGGAGUGGAAUUUCAGGUGUAGCGGUGAAAUGCGUAGAGAUCUGAAGGAACACCAGUGGCGAAGGCGACUCCCUGGACUAAAACUGACGCUGAGGUACGAAAGCGUGGGUAGCAAACAGGAUUAGAAACCCUAGUAGUCC
rnacentral:rRNA from 1 species